rnacentral:rRNA from 1 species
GUGUCAGCCGCCGCGGUAAUACAGAGGGUGCGAGCGUUAAUCGGAUUUACUGGGCGUAAAGCGUGCGUAGGUGGCCAAUUAAGUCAAAUGUGAAAUCCCCGAGCUUAACUUGGGAAUUGCAUUCGAUACUGGUUGGCUAGAGUAUGGGAGAGGAUGGUAGAAUUCCAGGUGUAGCGGUGAAAUGCGUAGAGAUCUGGAGGAAUACCGAUGGCGAAGGCAGCCAUCUGGCCUAAUACUGACACUGAGGUACGAAAGCAUGGGGAGCAAACAGGAUUAGAUACCCUGGUAGUCCAUGCCGUAAACGAUGUCUACUAGCCGUUGGGGUCUUUGAGACUUUAGUGGCGCAGCUAACGCGAUAAGUAGACCGCCUGGGGAGUACGGUCGCAAGACUAAAACUCAAAUGAAUUGACGGGG